GACGAACGCUGGCGGCGUGCUUAACACAUGCAAGUCGAACGGAAAGGCCCUGCUUUUGUGGGGUGCUCGAGUGGCGAACGGGUGAGUAACACGUGGGUAACCUGCCCUUGACUUUGGGAUAACUUCAGGAAACUGGGGCUAAUACCGGAUAGGAGCUCCUGCUGCAUGGUGGGGGUUGGAAAGUUUCGGCGGUUGGGGAUGGACUCGCGGCUUAUCAGCUUGUUGGUGGGGUAGUGGCUUACCAAGGCUUUGACGGGUAGCCGGCCUGAGAGGGUGGACGGCCACACUGGGACUGAGACACGGCCCAGACUCCUACGGGAGGCAGCAGUGGGGAAUAUUGCACAAUGGGCGCAAGCCUGAUGCAGCGACGCCGCGUGAGGGAUGGAGGCCUUCGGGUUGUGAACCUCUUUCGCCAGUGAAGCAGGCCUGCCUCGUUUGUGGGUGGGUUGACGGUAGCUGGAUAAGAAGCGCCGGCUAACUACGUG
rnacentral:rRNA from 1 species